rnacentral:rRNA from 1 species
AUUGAACGCUGGCGGCAUGCUUUACACAUGCAAGUCGGACGGCAGCACAGAGAAGCUUGCUUCUUGGGUGGCGAGUGGCGAACGGGUGAGUAAUAUAUCGGAACGUACCGAGUAAUGGGGGAUAACUAAUCGAAAGAUUAGCUAAUACCGCAUAUUCUCUGAGGAGGAAAGCAGGGGACCUUCGGGCCUUGCGUUAUUCGAGCGGUCGAUAUCUGAUUAGCUAGUUGGUGGGGUAAAGGCCUACCAAGGCGACGAUCAGUAGCGGGUCUGAGAGGAUGAUCCGCCACACUGGGACUGAGACACGGCCCAGACUCCUACGGGAGGCAGCAGUGGGGAAUUUUGGACAAUGGGCGCAAGCCUGAUCCAGCCAUGCCGCGUGUCUGAAGAAGGCCUUCGGGUUGUAAAGGACUUUUGUCAGGGAAGAAAAGGCUGUUGCUAAUACCGACAGCUGAUGACGGUACCUGAAGAAUAAGCACCGGCUAACUACGUG